AUGGAGUCCUUUCGUGAAGCUCUGGAUGAUUGCGCACUCACUGAUCUCGGAUUCAGUGGUGUUCCCUUCACUUAUGAUAACAAACGCGCCGGUAGGAAGAACGUAAGAGUACGACUCGAUCGAGCAGUGGCGAAUGAUGCUUGGCGGGAUAUUUUUCCGGAUGCCUCAGUGGAACAUAUUGUUACAUCUUGCUCUGACCAUUGUCUCCUUCUAGUCAGGCUGCAGGCUGAACAAUUGAAACAGAACAAGAGAAGGUGCAGGCAGUAUGAGCUCUUUUGGGAGAGAGCAUCAGACCUACCCGAGGUCAUUGAACAGGCAUGGGCUGCUGCUGGCGAUAAAAGUGAUCUGGAGGCUAUCCAAAGCUGUCUCGGAAAUGUCAUGAAAUCAUUGCAAAACUGGAGCAGCCGUAAAUUUGGUAAUAUCUUAAAGCAUUUACAGGAGGUACGCACUGAAUUGGAAGGGAUGUUAAAUAGUGGAGCUGAUAGCACAGAGGUACGCAGGGUGUCGGAUAAAUUGAAUGAACUACUAUACAAAGAAGAGAUGUUA
rnacentral:rRNA from 1 species